GGGGGGGGGUGUCAUGUGUAUGUCUGAUGCUUAAUGCAUUCUUGUGGUGAGUAGCAUUCUAUCCAGUUUGUAUCAUUAAUGAGUUUUCUUUAGGUUACUGCUCUAGUAAGCACAAUGUUUUCUCUCAUUGGAGAAAGUUACCAUGUUUUUAAACUGGCCGCAUGAACUUGUUUACUUUGAUCAAUCUUUAUCCUUCGGCUUGCUCCAGCUUACAGCUGUAUUUGCACUAUUCAUUUUGCAUUAUUGUAAGAUCCUGUCCAUCUCCAUAUGACCUUCUGACAGCGUCAAAUAUGUAGGAUUGUACUGCAAAUAGAUACUGUGAUUCUCUGUCAGUGUGAGUGGCUACUUUACUCAUCUUGUAAGUGUUCUUGAAAUUUCCAAAAUAAAAAAUUACUGUCAUUAUUCUUAGACAAUAUGAAAAUAGAACCAGUCUGAUUUCUAUUUCUUUGUGUUAUAAAUCUUCCAUAUUUAAAUAGAAAGAGGUUUUCUUUAAAAAUAUACAAAUGUCUUUUUAUUAACAAAAAAAUUUCACAUCACCACCUGUCUUGUUUGUGAGAACAUUUUUAUUGAUUUAUUCAUGGAAGAAUUUUGAGUGUUCAUUAAAUUUGAUUUACUGUGUAGUGUAAAUGUUUGCCACUUUAAAAUGGUCUGUUGAAAAAUUUCUUGGCCUUUUAUUUCUGUAUCUACGAAUUGUAUGGGUGUCACUGACACAGAUGAAGCAGACCAUUCUACAUAUAGUGAACCAGAUUCUCCUGUGUAAUAAAUUUCUUUCCCGGGCCAUAAGCUUCUCAUAAAAUUAUUAAUUCUAUAAACAAUAUUGCUUCACAGUUUGUGAUGUUCCCCAAAAUUAGUAUCAGUAGUAUUGAUUAUUAACAGCACCAAAUUUUUUCUGCAGGAAUGAUUCAGAGCCUGCCCAAUCUUUUAUAAAAUGUUGGAAAGAGAAAAUACUUUAAGAACACAAAGUAAAUAAACAUUAUUACUUACACUUAUCAUCGAGUGUGUAGUAAACAGUAGGAGAGAAUGUUUUUGCUAUAAAUAAUGAGAAAUGCUUAAUGUCUAGAUUGUCCAACAGCUUAAAAAUUUAUUCUGUCAGUGAUUUGUACACUUAACAUGUUAUUGGUAAAUAAGAGACAUACAUUCCAGUUACAUAAAUAAUAUUUUUACAUGUUCUUAAUAACUGUCAUGUGCACCACAGCUACCUUCAUACUUAGUGUCAUUGCCAUAUAAUUUGAUUUAUGUGGUGCUGGCUUUGCAACAAUGGUAAUACUGGUUCCUAUCAGAUUACUGAAGUUAAGCAAUGUCGGGCUGGACUAGUUCUUGGAUGGGUCCCCAGCCGAAGAUGACAUGGCGGACGGUCAGUACCGCAGGACCUUCGAGGCCUGUUCAGAUUUUGUUUUUGUUCAUUGCAGACAUUAACAGGCUUCCAAGAUGUGAAUAACUACCAGGGAGCACCACAGCCAUUCAGAAGCUUUGUCUUUGUCAUUUACCUAAUGAUAAAUCUCUUUGAAAAGAGAAAAAUUUCCCUACUCUGUCCUAAGAUGAAGAAACCUCAAAGCAGCUGCUCCUCAGAGAAAGUGCAGUGUCUGAUGGAAAGAUGGUUAGUUUCUACAUACAGCAAAUAACAUACUUACAAAUAUCAGGAAACAAAAAGUCAUGUGAAAGUAGAUGAUGGUGAUAAAGUGGAUUGUUAAAGUGGUUCACUCAUUGAUUUACACUGACAAAACUUUGAUCGGUGGUGGAAAAAUAUCCAAACUUUCUUGGACUUGCUUAGUGAAAACGCCUGCGAUAAUGCCAACUUAUUGGUGCUGUGAAAUGUUAACAGUUACAAAUAAGAGCUGAUUAACUCAAAAAGAGGCUUGUCUGAUGUUCAUUAGUAAUUGCUGCAUACCUGCAAGGAAAAUCAACAGAAAUUGAAUACAUUAUAAGACUUGUAUUUUUUUAUGUAUGCGGUUAGGAUGUAGGAAAUAGUGUCAGCUUUGUAAGAAAAAAAUAUGUAUUAUUCUGUGUCAUUCAGUGGGUUGUAUGGUAUCUAGGUCUAUUUUCGGUGUAGUGAAGCAAGUUUUCUGUGAUUUAUUUUCUGAUAAAGGAAACUUAAAAUGGCAACCCAGCUGUAAAUGUGAUGAUUUCUGAUAGCACAAUAUCUUGUGAUAUCAAACUUGUGUGAAUAUUUUUUCACAGAUAUCAUCUAAAAAUUUCUCAAGGACAUAUUUAAAAAUAUGUGGUGCUGCUGCUUUUGUAGUAAAUGUUUAAGAAUUGCAUUCUUCUUGUUGUAUUGUAAAAUUUCACUGUUUCCUUUGCUCAAGUAAUUUUUGUAGAUGUCUGUAUCAUUGUAUAGAUUUUUUUUGCUGUGACUAAUAGUCAAGAUUCAUUUUCCACUCUUUGUAUCUCUGUUGAUUUUUUUCUUACAGUAAUUGCAUUUACUUGCGUGAGUGAUUCCGCUGUAAAGUGCCAUGAAAACAUUAAUCUUCAUGUAUCAGUAUAACUUUUUUGGAUUGACAGUUUGAGAUUGUGGUAAUUAGUAUUCUGUACUUAUUCCUUGCAUUCAAAAUGAAUGGUCCUCAUUUUAGACUUUCUGCUCUUCAUGAAAGAGUACAUGUGUGUUUAUAUGCUAGAUCAAUGCUCAUACUGAAGUUGGAUGCCACAAAUAUUAUGUGAUGAACCUACGCAGGGAAUCUCAUCUGUACAUUAACAUAUUGCAUUCAUAAAUUUGUACAAAAUUUGGUGGAUUGUUGAUUUGUCAGUUACCAUUGUACAAUAAAAGUGUAUUUUUAUUUCAAG